rnacentral:rRNA from 1 species
AUUGAACGCUGGCGGCAUGCCUUACACAUGCAAGUCGAACGGCAGCGCGGGAGCAAUCCUGGCGGCGAGUGGCGAACGGGUGAGUAAUACAUCGGAACGUGCCCAAUCGUGGGGGAUAACGCAGCGAAAGCUGUGCUAAUACCGCAUACGAUCUACGGAUGAAAGCAGGGGAUCGCAAGACCUUGCGCGAAUGGAGCGGCCGAUGGCAGAUUAGGUAGUUGGUGAGGUAAAGGAUCACCAAGCCUUCGAUCUGUAGCUGGUCUGAGAGGACGACCAGCCACACUGGGACUGAGACACGGCCCAGACUCCUACGGGAGGCAGCAGUGGGGAAUUUUGGACAAUGGGCGAAAGCCUGAUCCAGCCAUGCCGCGUGCAGGAUGAAGGCCUUCGGGUUGUAAACUGCUUUUGUACGGAACGAAACGGUCUUUUCUAAUAAAGAAGGCUAAUGACGGUACCGUAAGAAUAAGCACCGGCUAACUACGUG